CCUACGGGAGGCAGCAGUGGGGAAUAUUGCGCAAUGGGCGAAAGCCUGACGCAGCGACGCCGCGUGAGGGAUGACGGUCUUCUGAUCGUAAACCUCUGUCAGCAGGGAAGAAAGGUCACUGUGCUAAUCAGCAGUGAAUUGACGGUACCUGCAAAGGAAGCACAGGCUAACUCCGUGCCAGUAGCCGCGGUAAAACGGAGGGUGCGAGCGUUAAUCGGAAUUACUGGGAGUAAAGUGCUCGUAGGCGGUAUGUCAAGUCAAGGGUGAAAUCCCCGCGCUCAACGUGGGAACUGCCUUUGAUACUGGCAAACUAGAGUGUGUGUGAGGAUGGUGGAAUUCAAGGUGUAGGAGUGAAAUCCGUAGAUAUCU
rnacentral:rRNA from 1 species